UGGGUAAUCAGGCUGAGGAUUUAAGCUCCACUCAGACUCUCCUUUGCUGCCAGUUUGUCAAUGACCUCAUGUUGGUAUUGGUGCUAAGGUUUUGCCCCAUGCUCUUGCCACUUGUUUUGUUGCCUACUUUGGUUUCCUGUGCUACAGUUUUCCUGGACCUUCUUUGCCAUUGCCUUUAACCUCAGCUCUCCUUGGAUUAUCCUCGCAUUCUGGAAAAAUACAAAGAACCUCACCUGCCUGCCCUCCAGCCACCACUCACCACCUCGGCACUCAGGUCAGCCAGCCUUUGUCAGUACUCGCCUGGAUUCUCUUUGCCUCUCCCUCAAAGCCAAGCUCACCCUGACUAUCAAUGCACCCGCUCCAUCCCCGUCGCAACCUGCCAAUUCCCCCUUCACCCCCACUGACCCACGGCCACAUCAUUAGUAACACUUUGCCACAAAUUCACCUGUUGACUUCAUAAUAAAACACUGUAAAAACGUUUGAGUCCAGUUUAGCUAUUGGCCUGUGUACUUCAAGCACAUGCUGGUUGUUUGAUCUACAAUCAAUUGUGGUGAUGUACAGAAGCAAAACUACAGCAAUGGUGUCUUUGUCCCAAACAAUACACAUGUACAUGUUAUCUACCUUCAUUAUUAGGCCACAUGGACAUAUUGUGAGUCAAAGGAUUUUGUGUCACUAUUCGUGUUUGAAGAAGGGACCCAUCAGCCUUUUGUUCCUCAUUUUCUGUUUCACCACCCACCUGUAUCAGUAAAAAGGAAUCAUUUUUAAAAAUUAGGCCACGUGACAUAUUUUAGAUGUAAUAAAACAACCAAGAUUAGACCGUUAAGACCAAUUUACCUGUUCAUUCACUUUCACCAUAUCUUUGCUGACUUCAUUUGAUAGCCUCAUCAUAUUAUCAGUGGAAUCUGAUGGUGUGAAGUCUGACAUGGAAUUCAAAGACAGUGCAGACAAAAUCCAGAACAGUGAGGAGAUAAUCUCAGCUUUAUCACCGUACACAUUAGUUAAAUACU